CCAUGAGGGGACGAAUACAGUCGAGCGGAUGACGGGAGCUUGCUCCUUGAUUAGCGGCGGACGGGUGAGUAAUGCCUAGGAAUCUGCCUGGUAGUGGGGGACAACGUUUCGAAAGGAACGCUAAUACCGCAUACGUCCUACGGGAGAAAGCAGGGGACCUUCGGGCCUUGCGCUAUCAGAUGAGCCUAGGUCGGAUUAGCUAGUUGGUGGGGUAAUGGCUCACCAAGGCGACGAUCCGUAACUGGUCUGAGAGGAUGAUCAGUCACACUGGAACUGAGACACGGUCCAGACUCCUACGGGAGGCAGCAGUGGGGAAUAUUGGACAAUGGGCGAAAGCCUGAUCCAGCCAUGCCGCGUGUGUGAAGAAGGUCUUCGGAUUGUAAAGCACUUUAAGUUGGGAGGAAGGGCAGUAAGUUAAUACCUUGCUGUUUUGACGUUACCGACAGAAUAAGCACCGGCUAACUCUGUGCCAGCAGCCGCGGUAAUACAGAGGGUGCAAGCGUUAAUCGGAAUUACUGGGCGUAAAGCGCGCGUAGGUGGUUCGUUAAGUUGGAUGUGAAAGCCCCGGGCUCAACCUGGGAACUGCAUCCAAAACUGGCGAGCUAGAGUACGGUAGAGGGUGGUGGAAUUUCCUGUGUAGCGGUGAAAUGCGUAGAUAUAGGAAGGAACACCAGUGGCGAAGGCGACCACCUGGACUGAUACUGACACUGAGGUGCGAAAGCGUGGGGAGCAAACAGGAUUAGAUACC
rnacentral:rRNA from 1 species